GUUUUAUUGUUACUAUUGUUAUUAUUAUUAAUGUAAUGCAUUAUCCUAAUAUUAUUACUGUUUUUAUUAUUAUUAUUAUUAUUAUUAUUAUUAUUAUUGCUCAGUAGUUGUUACAGUGUUAUUGUUCAUUAUUGGAGUGCGUUCAGCUAAUUUACAUUCAGUUGUUCAGUCAAAUACUGUGCGUCUGCACUAUAAAGGGUUUUCGCUGUGUUGUUUGUCACACCUUAGUAAUGCUAUGCUAUGCUGGGCCUAAGACGUUGCCUCUGCUAGAGGGGAAUAUGUACCCAGCGUUAGCUUAUGAUGGAAAUGCCACAUAAGAUUGUAAAAAUUGAAUCCUUCAAUAAAAGCGAAAACUUGUCCAAGGAGUCCUGUGCUAUGCAAACAUGUGCUUUACAAAUCAUCAAUGAUUGUGCAACUAAGGAGAUUUUAAAGGUUGCACUAGACCAAUUUUUGUCUCAAGUGACUAUUGUGCAACUCAAAAAGAAGCCCAAAUACGAACAGGCUGGUGUGUGCUGCAAUGACCAGCAUGUUCACUAACACAAAACUAGCAACCAGGGCAGCGAUUGAAACAAGAACAAAAGGAUAGGCCCGUUUUAGACCAAAAUAAAAUAUCUGCAAUAGUUGAGUUUGUCUGCGUUGAACAUCCAGGCAUUCAGCCAGUAGCUGUAAAAGCUAAGAUGGCUCAGAAAUGUAAAGACACAAGACGCUCCAUGUCAAAAUGAACGGAAAUGGAAACAACAUGUUUAGCAGGCACUUAAUGUGUAGUAAUUUUAUAGUAAAUAUAGUAUAGUAUUUUGUAGUAAAUUGUAUAUUUUAUUAAUAAUAUUAGUUAAUGUUAACCUAGAUAUGUGUUAUUAUUUUAAAUAUCUAUAUUUUUUUCUUUCAUUUAAAUGUUAAUUUCAUAUUCUACAACAAAAUAACUUGUCUAUGACAAAAUGAAAACAUGCUUUACCAUUAUUAAAUGUUCUCAAUUUAAGGCAACUAACAGGCCGUUCACAAUUAUCAACAUUUUCAAGUACAAGUGUACAAACAUUACUCUUUUUCGGUACCCACUCCCAUCUGAAAAUGUACAUAAAAAUUAUUGAUUUUGCAAAAGCAUUUUCAAUUUUUUUGUGAAGUCAAUUAAAAUACUGUAUUGGUUGCUUAAAAAUGUCUAUUAUAUCCAUGGUUACAUUGUGUCUGGUUAUGAAAAAUCUAUUAUUUUACAUAUUUCAUGCUAUUUUCAAUUAACAAUUUUAUGCAAAAAAAGGACAAAUGUGUCUACCCCCUAGCGAACUGUUUGUACACUUGUGAAAAUAUUGAUACUGUUAUCCUAAAUACUGUACAAUAAACUUAUUUUAAACUUAUUGCUACCUUUACUUAAUAUAUACUCUAUAUAUAAUCUUAUAAAUACAGUAUAAAUAUUUUUUAGUGGGCACUUAAUGCAAAAUCCAAAAACAGUAAUAAUACCUCACACUAAAUGCAAUACCUGAUCAUGAUAUAUCUGUAAGUAAAUUUAAGUAAAUGUUUAUUUUAUCAAUUUUAAUAUUUCGUUUGUGUAGUACAUUGACCAAAGUUUCGAGCAAAGCAAUAAUAUUCAUGUGAAACAGCUAUACCUUUGACUAAUGUAUUUUUGUGCUUUAAAAAUGUUUUUAUACAUCCAUUAUUCUUCUAACAUAUGCAAUAAUCUUAUGGUACGGCACAUAUGUGUAAGUAAAAGUUAAUAUAAUAAAUAUUUAUUUUAUCAAUUUUAA